rnacentral:rRNA from 1 species
UACGUAGGGGGCACGCGUUGUCCGGAUUCAUUGGGCGUAAAGAGCGUGUAGGCGGCCAGGUAGGUCGGUUGUGAAAACUGGAGGCUCAACCUUCAGAGGUCGACCGAAACCAUCUGGCUAGAGUCCGGGAGAGGAGAGUGGAAUUCCUGGUGUAGCGGUGAAAUGCGUAGAUAUCUGGAGGAACAUCGGUGGCGAAGGCGACAUCCUGGACCGGUAUUGACGCUGAGGCGCGAAAGCCAGGGGAGCGAACGGG